rnacentral:rRNA from 1 species
GUAGGUGAAAGCUUACAUCUCUUCGGAGCAUUUUACGAGGUGCUGCAUGGUUGUCGUCAGCUCGUGCCGUGAGGUGCCGGGUUAAGUCCCAUAACGAGCGCAACCCUACCUUUAGUUGCCAUCAGGUUAAGCUGGGGACUCUAAAGGAACUGCCUACGCAAGUAGUGAGGAAGGCGGGGAUGACGUCAAAUCAGCACGGCCCUUACGUCCAGGGCUACACACGUGCUACAAUGGCCGAUACAGAGGGCAGCUACCUGGUGACAGGAUGCAAAUCUCCAAAGUCGGUCUCAGUUCGGAUCGGAGUCUGCAACCCGACUCCGUGAAGUUGGAUUCGCUAGUAAUCGCGCAUCAGCCAUGGCGCGGUGAAUACGUUCCCGGGCCUUGU